UACAGAGGUCCCGAGCGUUGUUCGGAUUCACUGGGCGUAAAGGGCGCGUAGGCGGCAUGGUAAGUUUGAUGUGAAAGCUCAGGGCUUAACCCUGAAAUGGCAUUGAAUACUACUGUGCUGGAGGUUUGGAGGGGGGACUGGAAUUCUUGGUGUAGCAGUGAAAUGCGUAGAUAUCAAGUGGAACACCAGUGGCGAAGGCGAGUCUCUGGACAUUUCCUGACGCUGAGGCACGAAAGCCAGGGGAGCAAACGGG
rnacentral:rRNA from 1 species